AAAUUGAAGAGUUUGAUCAUGGCUCAGAUUGAACGCUGGCGGCAGGCCUAACACAUGCAAGUCGAACGGUAGCACAGAGAGCUUGCUCUCGGGUGACGAGUGGCGGACGGGUGAGUAAUGUCUGGGAAACUGCCUGAUGGAGGGGGAUAACUACUGGAAACGGUAGCUAAUACCGCAUAACGUCGCAAGACCAAAGAGGGGGACCUUCGGGCCUCUUGCCAUCAGAUGUGCCCAGAUGGGAUUAGCUAGUAGGUGGGGUAACGGCUCACCUAGGCGACGAUCCCUAGCUGGUCUGAGAGGAUGACCAGCCACACUGGAACUGAGACACGGUCCAGACUCCUACGGGAGGCAGCAGUGGGGAAUAUUGCACAAUGGGCGCAAGCCUGAUGCAGCCAUGCCGCGUGUAUGAAGAAGGCCUUCGGGUUGUAAAGUACUUUCAGCGGGGAGGAAGGUGUUGUGGUUAAUAACCGCAGCAAUUGACGUUACCCGCAGAAGAAGCACCGGCUAACUCCGUGCCAGCAGCCGCGGUAAUACGGAGGGUGCAAGCGUUAAUCGGAAUUACUGGGCGUAAAGCGCACGCAGGCGGUCUGUCAAGUCGGAUGUGAAAUCCCCGGGCUCAACCUGGGAACUGCAUUCGAAACUGGCAGGCUAGAGUCUUGUAGAGGGGGGUAGAAUUCCAGGUGUAGCGGUGAAAUGCGUAGAGAUCUGGAGGAAUACCGGUGGCGAAGGCGGCCCCCUGGACAAAGACUGACGCUCAGGUGCGAAAGCGUGGGGAGCAAACAGGAUUAGAUACCCUGGUAGUCCACGCCGUAAACGAUGUCGAUUUGGAGGUUGUGCCCUUGAGGCGUGGCUUCCGGAGCUAACGCGUUAAAUCGACCGCCUGGGGAGUACGGCCGCAAGGUUAAAACUCAAAUGAAUUGACGGGGGCCCGCACAAGCGGUGGAGCAUGUGGUUUAAUUCGAUGCAACGCGAAGAACCUUACCUGGUCUUGACAUCCACAGAACUUUCCAGAGAUGGAUUGGUGCCUUCGGGAACUGUGAGACAGGUGCUGCAUGGCUGUCGUCAGCUCGUGUUGUGAAAUGUUGGGUUAAGUCCCGCAACGAGCGCAACCCUUAUCCUUUGUUGCCAGCGGUUAGGCCGGGAACUCAAAGGAGACUGCCAGUGAUAAACUGGAGGAAGGUGGGGAUGACGUCAAGUCAUCAUGGCCCUUACGACCAGGGCUACACACGUGCUACAAUGGCGCAUACAAAGAGAAGCGACCUCGCGAGAGCAAGCGGACCUCAUAAAGUGCGUCGUAGUCCGGAUUGGAGUCUGCAACUCGACUCCAUGAAGUCGGAAUCGCUAGUAAUCGUAGAUCAGAAUGCUACGGUGAAUACGUUCCCGGGCCUUGUACACACCGCCCGUCACACCAUGGGAGUGGGUUGCAAAAGAAGUAGGUAGCUUAACCUUCGGGAGGGCGCUUACCACUUUGUGAUUCAUGACUGGGGUGAAGUCGUAACAAGGUAACCGUAGGGGAACCUGCGGUUGGAUCACCUCCUUACCUUAAAGAA
rnacentral:rRNA from 2 species